AACGAACGCUGGCGGCAUGCCUAACACAUGCAAGUCGAACGAGACCUUCGGGUCUAGUGGCGCACGGGUGCGUAACGCGUGGGAACCUGCCCUUAGGUUCGGAAUAACUCCCCGAAAGGGGUGCUAAUACCGGAUAAUGUCUUCCGACCAAAGAUUUAUCGCCUUUGGAUGGGCCCGCGUUGGAUUAGCUUGUUGGUAGGGUAAAAGCCUACCAAGGCGACGAGCCAUAGCUGGUCUGAGAGGAUGAUCAGCCACACUGGGACUGAGACACGGCCCAGACUCCUACGGGAGGCAGCAGUGGGGAAUAUUGGACAAUGGGCGAAAGCCUGAUCCAGCAAUGCCGCGUGAGUGAUGAAGGCCUUAGGGUUGUAAAGCUCUUUUACCCGGGAUGAUAAUGACAGUACCGGGAGAAUAAGCUCCGGCUAACUCCGUG
rnacentral:rRNA from 1 species